GCAUCUAGGGCACACAUCUAAUACUUCUACUGACGACAUACAGAUUUUUUUUGUAGAUACUCGAAGACCCCAUCCGAUGUCCCCCACUCCAGCUUAAUGGCAGUCCCUAUCAUGCUGCUCGUGCCAUGUCACCCCAAUAGGAGAGGAGCAGCAAUAGACCCCAUCAAAAUCAUUAUACAAUAUUGUAAAAACAAAAUUUAUGACUCUCUUGCUAUUCAUU
rnacentral:lncRNA from 1 species